rnacentral:rRNA from 1 species
CAUGCAAGUCGAACGAGAAAGUCACCUUCGGGUGACGAGUACAGUGGCGAACGGGUGAGUAACACGUGGGCAAUCUGCCCCUAGGUUGGGGAUAACACUUCCAACGAGGUGCUAAUACCGAAUGACAAGGCGAGUUGAUGACUCGUUUUUAAAGGUGGCCUCUACUUGUAAGCCGCCGCCUAGGGAUGGGCCCGCGUCGUAUUAGCUUGUUGGUAGGGUAAUGGCCUACCAAGGCGACGAUGCGUAGCCGGCCUGAGAGGGUGAACGGCCACACUGGCACUGAGAUAAGGGCCAGUCUCCUACGGGAGCCAGCAGUCUAGAAAUUUGCACAAUCGCCGAAAGGCGGAUGCAGCGACACCACGUGGAGGAUGAAGCCCCUCGGGGUGUAAACUCCUGUCAGAAGGGAAGAAGGCGCGGGCGUUAAUACCGCUCGUUGCUUGACGGUACCUUCAGAGGAAGCUCCGGCUAACUACGUGCCAGCAGCCGCGGUAAUACGUAGGGAGCGAGCGUUGUUCGGAUUUACUGGGCGUAAAGGGCAUGUAGGCGGGUAUGCAAGUCGGUUGUGAAAUCCUCUGGCUCAACCAGAGAACUGCAGCCGAAACUGCACACCUUGAGUCCAGCAGAGGGAAUCGGAAUCCCAGGUGUAGCGGUGAGAUGCGUAGAUAUCUGGGAGAACAUCAGUGGCGAAGGCGGAUUCCUGGGCUGGUACUGACG